rnacentral:rRNA from 1 species
CCCUUAGAUGUUCUGGGCCGCACGCGCGCUACACUGAUCGGUGCAACAAGCAUCCGUCCUUGGCCGACAGGCCCGGGCAAUCUUUGAACGCCGGUCGUGAUGGGGAUAGACCUUUGCAAUUUUUGGUCUUCAACGAGGAAUUCCUAGUAAACGCAAGUCAUCAACUUGCAUUGAUUACGUCCCUGCCCUUUGUACACACCGCCCGUCGCACCUACCGAUUGAAUGGUCCGGUGAGACCUCCGGAUUGGCGCGUGCCCUCGGGCGCCGCCGAGAAGUUGGUUAAACCUUACCAUUUAGAGGAAGGUGAAGUCGUAACA